UCAUAAUAUAUAAUUUGCAAUACAAUUAAGAAGCAUAUCUUUUAUUUGAUUUACAUUCACAUAGACAUAAGUACGAUGGUCUUGUCUUGAACACAACAUCAUAAGUAACAUAAAGCAUUGAAGUGCAAGAGCAAAGACUACUGAUUCAUUGCUAGGAAGUUGUAAACAUGACAAUGCAAGAAAACACAAAGCAGAAUCUCUUAUUAUUUAAGCAGUAAUAAGAUAAGAGAGGAUAUUGCAUGUUCUAGGCAUGGUUGUUGUCCUCCACUGGAGGAUACUUCCCAUAAGGUGGUUUCUUGUAUGGUGGCUUUUCGUAUGGUGGCUUGUAGUAAGGUGGUUUUGGCUUGUAAAUAGGAGGCUUGUAAAUUGGAGGCUUGUAAAUUGGAGGCUUGUAAUAGAUGGGAGGCUUGUAAAUGGGAGGCUUCUUGAUUGGUUUGUAAUAAGUAGCAAAACCUUGAGGAAUGAGGAUUAGGGCAGCAAGAACAAACACCAGAAAGCUUGAAAAGGAAGCCAUGUUAAAGAUUGGUGUGCAUAACAGACUGAGUAAUGUGUUCAUAUAUAUAGUAGUUAGGAGGGGUCAUUGUAGGUGUAAGGUCUAAAUCUAGGUCAUUAAUGAUUUGCUUUGUCAUAUUAUGGUAUUUGCCAAAGUUCGGUGUGAUUAUUCAAAAUUGAUUUAGAAAUUAUACAUUGAUAUACACAAAUAUUUUACAUUCAUUUAAUACUUGUUAUUUUUUACUCAAUUGUGCUAAAAAAUAUUUUUUAUAGUAAUUAAAAUCCAUGAGAUAUAAAAAAUGAAGCAGUGACACUAUUAUAGAUAUGAAAAGUUUUUUUAUUUGGAUUGGACUUAGAACUGAUGUAAAAAGUGGCUCAGUAACAAAAUUGUAAUAAAUUACAAUUUUUUUAUACCAAUUACACUCAUAAUUGAAUAGAAAGUCGAUUUUCUAUACUAGUUAGACUUAGAACCGAUAUAGAAAGUGUGGUGGUAACAAAACUAUAAUAUUAAACAAACUUUUCUAUAUUCAUUGCAAUCAGAACAAAUAUAGAAAGUUGUUUUUCUAUCCUGGUUAGUCAAUAUAACCGGGAUAUAAUAUUUAAUAUUCAUCUCCUUCUUCUUUUUGCGCUUCAAUUUCGCAAAACUCUUUUUCUUGUUCUCUCUAUGCUUCACCUUCAUUACUUUUCGCUCUCUCUGUGCUUGGCUUCCAUUCAUUCUUGGUCUCUCUACGUUUCCAAUAGUUCACUAAAGUCGCUUGUGCUAUCGUUUGUGGUUGUUGUUUUUGUCAUCGCUGUGGUCGUUGUUUGUUGUCGAUUUUUUAGUCGCGGUGGUUGUUGAAGUUAUCACUGUUGUAGGUCAAGUUGUGGUUCAUCUUUGUCAUCAAUGGUUGGUAUUGCAGUGCCUAUUUUCAUGGAGGUUGGAGUCGUUGUUGUGGUGUCAUUGUUAUCACUGCAUUUUUUCUUCCUCUUGCGUUGAAGCUUUCUUGGUUGCGUUGUUGGUGUUGUAGUAGUGUGGUGAGUAACACUAAAGCUUCCUUGUGUGGUAUGGUAGGUCGUUGCACGUGGUGUUUUUUUGAUCGUUUUGUUGUGGUUCUUGGCAAAUUUUAAACCUUAAUUUACUAUUGUUGAGGAUGUUGUGUUUUGACGUAUUUAUUGUUACAUUGCAUUCGUUGGGAGGAAAAUUUAAUAUUGUGAGGUUUUCCAUUUUUUGGAGCUUUCCAUGUUUGUGUUAUUGCAUUCAAUUGGUGUGAUUACUCUUUUGUGUUAGAAUUUAUGAGAAAAAAGUGAGGUAUAAAAAUCAAUAGGUUUGAAUCUCUACAAAUGAUGAGGCUGCAAGUGAGUAGAUUUUUGGUGGUGAUCAAAAUCACCAAAUAAGUUGUAGGCAAAAGAAAAAUGGAGAUCAAUACGAGUCCUAAUUAGAAAGACUAUUUGGGAAUGAGAUAUCAAUCUCUUAAAUACGUUGAAGUGAAGCGUAUUGAACUAAAUCCAUUGAUUAAUUCUUUAUGUUGUGGUUUGGUAUGACUAAGUUCACAUAUUGGACUCAUGUUUAACUGUUUCUUAGAUCUACCUAAAAGUAGAGGUGUUGGUUUUUACAUAUAAUAAUGGAUAGGUGUUGAAUAAAUUUUAUACGCAUAACAAAUGAAUAUGGGAGCAGAGUAGAACAAUUUCUUGAGUUUGCAAAGACAAGUGUUCUAGACAAUAACAAAAGAUUUUAUUGCUCAUGUGUUAAUUGUUUGAAUGGAUGAAAACUAUCAACUGAAGUUCUUUGGGAGCAUGUUGUUCUCCUAAAGUUACACAAAAUGGACAUGACAUAGUGAAUUAAUAGACACACCUAGUGCAUCCAGAAUGCACUAAGUAUACUUUAUUGUCAAUGGUAUCAAAACACUUUGGAGUCAUAUUAUAUGCAUUUGGAGUCAUAUAAUAUGCAUUUGCAUUCUUAAGAGAAGAUUCUCGUGAUUCUUGGAUUAUAACACUGAUUCUUAUCAAAGAUUAACAUCUUUCUGGAGAACUUUCACUCGACUUAUUAAUCUGCUAGAUUGUGGCUUCCCUAUCCUUGUCUCAUUCUGCAUUCUUCUAUGAUUUAUUCAAGAGAUAGUCCUCUAUUAUACCUUUUUUUCUUAAAAAGAAUUUUUCCUCAAAUUUGUAUAACUUAAAUAUUCCUUAUCAUUUUAAGAAGUUAGAACAACUAGAAAAUGAGGUUGUGGUCAUAUUAUGCCUAUUAGAUAUGUACUUUACACACACGCAGACAAGGACACACACACACAGACUCACAAAUACACAGUCACACACACAAACACACACACACACACAUAAACACACACACACACACAUACAUAAAUGGACAUGCGCGCGCACACACAAAGACACACACACCCAGAAACACACAUACAUAGACACACACACACCCACAAACACACAUACAUAGACACACACACACACACAAACACAAACACACAUACACACAAACAUAGACACACACACCCACAAACACACAUACACACAAACAUAGACACACACUCCCACAAACACAAACAUAAACAUACACACAAACACACACACACACACACAAACAAAUUGACAUACAGAUAGACACAUACAGACACACAAGAAGUCAUCCCAAAAGAAGUCAUCCCCUUCUUAAGUGCUCAUAAAUAUAUUGUUAAAAGAAAGAAAUAAUCCACGAAUACUUCAGAAGUUGGUUAUUAAUGAGCACAACAAAACCUUUUUAAAGUGGUUCAAACAACAUGUUCAAGCUUACCAUACAACCUCUGACACAUUAAAUUGAAUACCAAGUGAACCAAACUUUGAUGUCAUAUGUUGGAGUGGGUAUGAUAUGAAAAAUUAUACAUUUCAUACAAAGAAAAUGAAAAAAAAAACACCACUCACAAUAAUGGAGUAAUAGUUGUGGUUGAGUCAAUGCAUUUCUUGAGUUCAAAGGAUAAAAAUCCUUUUAUGGCAUCAAUGUGCUACUUUCGUGUUAUGGAAGAUAUUUGGGUGAUAGAUUACACAAGUUUCAGAGUACUUAUUUUUAAAUGGGUUGAUUGUAAUAUUGGCAUAAGGACCAAUGAUCUAAGUUUUACAUUGUGCAGAUAUUACAAUUCUUGUUGCUUUCUUGAUGCCUUGGAGAUUUCUUGAGACCUUUGAAUGUUUCUUGUUGUGUACUUGUACUUAAACUCAAUGCUUUGUUAGAAUAUUGCAAAUGAAAUUCGUAAUGAGACAGGUUUCAAUAUAGAUAUAUAUAGGAUAUGACAUUCUGGUGUAGUUUAAUUGAUUAGAUAAAAACCUUAAUCGAUUAAGCCGAAGUUUAUGUUUCAAUGACAUUAUGGUGCAGUUUAAUCGAUUAGGUAAAACCUUAAUUGAUUAGGCCAAAGUUUCUGUUUUAAUCGAUUAGGUUAUUAAUGUUAUCAAUUAAAACAGACAAUUUUGUCAUUUUUUUCUUCUUAUGAGUUCUGACAUGCUUUAACUGAUUGCUAACUAACAUAAUGGAUUAAUAGCAUCAAAAUUGCAGAUUGUAAACUGUCUAACCCAGUUACAUUCAUCUAUACAUGAUAUAUGUAUCUAACAUGAUUUUCCUAUGAUUUUAAACAUUGAUCCAUCAAGAAAGAACAUAUGAUUAAUUCAUCAUCAAAAACAUUUUACCAAAUUUAGAAGGGAAAAGCUCCCCCUUUCAACACUAACCGGUAUAAAAAGUUACUUUUUAUAUACAAAUUUAUCUCUUUCCUAAUAAACUUUUUAUAUCGGUUUCAGAUUCAGUAUAAAAAGUCAAAUACUUUCUAUACCGAUUCAAAAACUGGUAUAAAUUUUUUUUAACUCAUAUAAAAAAGCUUUUCUGAUAUAGUGACUCUUCCUUUUCUUUUUAAAAUAUAAAAGUUUAUGUUUUUAAGACUAUUUUAAUCUUAUAAUAUGUGUCAAAUGAAUAUAAAUGUAUCUUAUCCUACUAUGACUUGAUUUAGACCCUUUAGUCUUGUGUGGCAUUGUUGCAAAUCAAGAAUCUCAACAAAAUCUAUAUAUUUAUCCAUAAAGAUCUCUAAAGAAAUAUAUAAAAAAGGAAAACCCAAAAAUUAAUUUUUUUAUAAAUUACAAUAAUUUAUACGAGUUAGAAAUAAAAAAAAAAAUUGGUAACAAAGUUUUUUCAAUCAGUUUAAUCACUAAUUUCAUUUUUCGUAUUUUUUGUUUUAAAAGUUCUUGAAGAAAGAACUCGUACAAGAUUAAAUAUAUUUUUAAAAUGUAAAUUAAUUUAUGUAUACUAUACACAUAUAUACAGACUAUAUUACAUUUUGAUUUAUAUUUUAAUGAUAAAUUAAAAGUAUUAUUUUAAUUUAUUUAAAUACGACUACUAAUUUAAAUUCAAACAGAAAAAAUUAAAUAUAGUGGUGUUCCUUUCAAAUUAAAUUGAAACAUUCGAAACUUUUAAAUAUUAUUAAAAAUAAAAUAAUAUAUACGUUAAAAGAAGUUCUAUGAAUGUUUCUAAUCCAUAGAAUUUUAUAUGGUUUAUGAGUUGUUUUUAUCUUGUGAAUUUUUUUAAUAAAGGAUUUAUUUCAGCUGUCAGUUUUUUUAAUCCAAAUUCAUAUGGUGAAAUCCUAUAAAAUAAUACUAUAAAAUGCACUAAGACGUAUCUAAUUAACCAUAAACAUAAAGGUCUUUUUAUUCAUAAUUUUGUAGUACAAUUAAGAAGCAUAUUUUUUAUUUGAUUUACAUUCACAUAGACAUAAGUCUGAUGGUCUUGUCUUGAACACAACAUCAUAACUUACACAAAGCAUUGAAGUGAGCAAAGAAUACUGAUUCAUUCAUUGCUAGGAAGUUGUAAACAUGACAAUGCAAGAAAACACAAAGCAGAUUCUCUUAUUAUUUAAGCAGUAGUAAGAUAAGAGAGGAUGUUGUUGCAUGUUCUAGGCAUGGUUGUUGUCUUCCACUGGAGGGUACUUUCCAUAAGGUGGUUUCUUCUUGUAUGGUGGCUUUUUGUAUGGUGGUUUGUAGAAAGGUGGUUUUGGCUUGUAAAUGGGAUGCUUAUAAAUAGGAGGCUUGUAAAUUGGAUGCUUCUUGAUUGGUUUGUAAUAAGUAGCAAAACCUUGAGGAAUGAGAAUUAGGGCAGCAAGAAGUAACACCAGAAAGCUUGAAAAGGAAGCCAUUUUUAGGGUUGGUGUGUUAGCAGACUGAGUAAUAUGUUAGUAUAUAUAGUAGUAAGGAAGUUCAAUGUAUUAUGUAGGUGUAAUGUCUCAAUCUAGGUCAUUAAUGAUUUGCUUUGUCACACUUUGAUAUUUGCCAAAGUUUGGUGUGAUUAUUCAUCAUUGAUUU
rnacentral:lncRNA from 1 species